rnacentral:rRNA from 1 species
UGGGAACAUGCCCUUCGGUUCGGAAUAACUCAGGGGAAACUUGAGCUAAUACCGGAUACGUCCGUAAGGAGAAAGAUUUAUCGCCGAAGGAUUGGCCCGCGUCCGAUUAGCUUGUUGGUGAGGUAAUGGCUCACCAAGGCGACGAUCGGUAGCUGGUCUGAGAGGAUGAUCAGCCACACUGGAACUGAGACACGGUCCAGACUCCUACGGGAGGCAG